ACGGUGGAGUUCACACUUGUUGAUUACAUAUAUACUUGAUAUCACACGUCUUAUACAAGGCAAGGAAGAUGAACUGGUUUGAAUCACCUUUGUCCAGUUGCUGCAGCUCACAUCCGGAUCAUGCUCUCUCUACUGGUUGUGAAUUAACAUAGGUGAAGUUGGAGUCGCAGGGGUCCCUUCUACAUCACAAGUCAAUUUGAGCUGGAACAGUUGCUAAAAGACUUUAACGGGAUAAACAAAGAAGUGGCUUAACUUGAGAUUUUAAGUCAAGCACUUCCAUGAAUAUCCAUCAAGAACCUUGAAGGAAGGAUAACCUGUUCUCUUGAAGUAAAAGCCAACAGACACCAUUGCCUCUGUGAAAGCAAUGAUCAAGAUUAAGGUUAGUAUUUCUGUUGAUGAGCAGGUGCUGAUCUUCAACCGAAUGGUUCUCGGGGACGGCGGCACCCUAGAGCUGGAUACAUCACUUGAAGAAACAAGACUACCAAAAUGACCGUUAUACCCCUAAAUGGCUUAAAAUCUCUGGUCUUUGUUGACGCAUCAGUAACUUCUUCAAGUUUGCUGCUAUAUUGGGGAUCUGCAGAUUAACAGGAGUUAUAAUCUUCAAUACGGG